rnacentral:rRNA from 1 species
GACGAACGCUGGUGGCGUGCCUAAUACAUGCAAGUCGAGCGAACAUUUGAGAGCUUGCUCCCAAAAAUUAGCGGCGGACGGGUGAGUAACACGUGGGCAACCUGCCUAUAAGACUGGGAUAACUUCGGGAAACCGGAGCUAAUACCGGAUAAUUCUUUUCUACACAUGUAGGGAAGCUGAAAGACGGUUUACGCUGUCACUUAUAGAUGGGCCCGCGGCGCAUUAGCAGUUGGUGAGGUAACGGCUCACCAAGGCCACGAUGCGUAGCCGACCUGAGAGGGUGAUCGGCCACACUGGGACUGAGACACGGCCCAGACUCCUACGGGAGGCAGCAGUAGGGAAUCUUCCGCAAUGGACGAAAGUCUGACGGAGCAACGCCGCGUGAGUGAUGAAGGUUUUCGGAUACGUAAAACUC